rnacentral:lncRNA from 1 species
CGGAAGGGUAAGCAUUUCCUGCACCGUAUACGGCACCCGUCAUGUUAUUUCUUUGUUCAGUUCGGUAAUGAUGAAAGGUUGUUAUGACUGAGGAAGAAUAUCACUGAGAUAUGAUUUCUGACACACUUUUGUCAUAAUGGCCAAUCAGCUCAUGAUGGCGACCAUAAAAUUGCUUGAGUGAUGACCUUAAUUUGAUUGAUUCAUAGCCCUGUCUUAGCAACUUUUGAGAAAGCAGUAUUCCUCGUUCAACAGAAUCAACGUACUUUGAGCUAUAGCUCUAGAGUAACAUAUCAAUUGAGACACAUAUACUCCAUAUGCUGGUGCCGCUUUUUUUCAAAUUUAUAAAUAUAUAUCUCUGAUCUGUUCUACAUGUAAUUGCCGUUUAGAAACCUAUUUUAUAGUAAACGGCAGAAGUGUGGAGAAAUG